GCCCUGCCAACAAGGCUCAGUCAGUAGAGUGCGAGACUUUUAACCUCAGGGUCGUGGGUUCGAGCCCCACGCUGGGCA